ensembl:snRNA U1 U1 spliceosomal RNA
ACACUUUCCUGGCAGGGGAGACAGCAUGAUCACAAAGGUGGUUUUCCCAGGGAAAAGUUUACUCUAUUACACUCAAGGUAUGCUGACCGCUCCCUGCGGUUUCCCCAAAUUCAGGAAACCCCGUUAUCUGUGAUAGUGAGGGACUGAAUUCACGUUCUCCUCAUA